ACCGCGGCGACUGGGCGGCGGGUGCCAUGCGCCUGGAGCUUCAUAGUCUCAGCUCCCGCCCACCGCACCCGCCCGCCUCCGCGGUCACGCCCCAGACCUCCGACACCUGUCAAGCAGGCAAAGAGGGACACAGCAGACUCCUGCCCUGAAACACUGUGUGUCCCAACCCAGGCGGAAUUGAUGGCAGCACAGAUGAAAAAAUGCCAGAAAACCUCAGAGCAGACUGGCCUCAACCACAGCAAACAGCUCUCAACAGCCUGCCCCCAGCUCACCCUUCCUUUUCAUUAAAAAAUAAACACAGAACCUGAGAUUUGGUGGCAGCAGUGGGAUCUGAAGUGAACUUCUGAUGGCUUCAAGACAACAAGAAACACAGGCAUGGUAUUCCACAAACCCACUGAGUUCUCUGUCUUCCUGCCAUUUCCGAAGGCCAUGGAGAUUGCUCGCAAGCAGACCUGAGUUGGGAGUGCAACCUGAGCGGAUUCUCCAGAGGUAAUAAACAUCUAGAAUAGGCCUCCCUGCCACUAGCCCAUGCCCAUUCCAUUCAGUUGUUAAGGAUGCUGAAGGUCUCUUAGAACAGUGGUUCUCAAAAUGUGGUCUCCAAAUGGCAGCAUAAUUAUCAUCUGGGAACUUGUUAGAAAUGCAAAUUCUCAGGCUACACCCCAGGCCUACUGAAUCACAAAUUCUGUGGGCGUGACCCAGUGGAUAUGGUUUAACAAGCCCUCCAGCUGAUUCCGAUAUAUGUUUCAUAUUUAGAACCACAGUCCUAGGCCAAUGGACUCACCUGGGAAACAUUAAAAAUACCAAUGCCUGAGUCUUACCUCACCCCAGAGAUUCUGAUUUAAUUGGUUUGGGAUGUAGCCUGGGCAUGAGUUUUUCAAUGCUCCCCAGGUGAUUGAAACCACUGUGACCUAGACCUUUGGAAGCAGUCCCCUGCAUCUGGGAAUGGCUAAUGGCACAGUUAGAGCAUAAAAUCAAGCUGCAGAGACUAAUAAAUAUGUAGGAGCAUCACAACUUCCCAAUUUUAAGUCCUGUCCCCUUCCCCAAACCCUGCACCUAACGCAGGAGGCAGAGCCAUGGGUGGGCAAUGCGCUUUGGCUGAGCAGGUAUGAACUUAUUAUUUUGAGCCCUUUAGUAGUGUUACUUACUUUUUUUUUUUUUUUGGUACGCGGGCCUCUCACUGUUGUGGCCUCUUCCGCUGCGGAGC